UCCUUUAAAGAAAGCGUAAUAGCUCACUGGUCUAGUGAUUUUGCGCGGAAAAUAUAACGGGGCUAAAGUAAGUACCGAAGCUGUAGACUUAGUUUACUAAGUGGUAGGAGAGCGUUCUAUUUGCGUCGAAGGUAUACCGGUAAGGAGUGCUGGAGCGAAUAGAAGUGAGCAUGCAGGCAUGAGUAGCGAUAAUUAAUGUGAGAAUCAUUAACGCCGUAAACCCAAGGUUUCCUACGCGAUGCUCGUCAUCGUAGGGUUAGUCGGGUCCUAAGUCGAGUCCGAAAGGGGUAGACGAUGGCAAAUUGGUUAAUAUUCCAAUACCAACAUUAGUGUGCGAUGGAAGGACGCUUAGGGCUAAGGGGGCUAGCGGAUGGAAGUGCUAGUCUAAGGUCGUAGGAGGUUAUACAGGCAAAUCCGUAUAACAAUACUCCGAGAACUGAAAGGCUUUUUGAAGUCUUCGGAUGGAUAGAAGAACCCCUGAUGCCGUCGAGCCAAGAAAAGUUUCUAAGUUUAGCUAAUGUUGCCCGUACCGUAAACCGACACAGGUGGGUGGGAUGAGUAUUCUAAGGCGCGUGGAAGAACUCUCUUUAAGGAACUCUGCAAAAUAGCACCGUAUCUUCGGUAUAAGGUGUGGUUAGCUUUGUAUUAGGAUUUACUCCGAAAGCAAGGAAACUUACAACAAAGAGUCCCUCCCGACUGUUUACCAAAAACACAGCACUCUGCUAACUCGUAAGAGGAUGUAUAGGGUGUGACGCCUGCCCGGUGCUCGAAGGUUAAUUGAUGGGGUUAGCAUUAGCGAAGCUCUUGAUCGAAGCCCGAGUAAACGGCG
rnacentral:rRNA from 1 species